UGGAGAGUUUGAUCCUGGCUCAGGACGAACGCUGGCGGCGUGCUUAACACAUGCAAGUCGAGCGGUAAGGCCCUUCGGGGUACACGAGCGGCGAACGGGUGAGUAACACGUGGGUGAUCUGCCUCGCACUCUGGGAUAAGCCUGGGAAACUGGGUCUAAUACCGGAUAUGACCAGGGACUGCAUGRUYYYUGGUGGAAAGAUUUAUCGGUGCGAGAUGGGCCCGCGGCCUAUCAGCUUGUUGGUGGGGUAACGGCCUACCAAGGCGACGACGGGUAGCCGGCCUGAGAGGGUGAUCGGCCACACUGGGACUGAGACACGGCCCAGACUCCUACGGGAGGCAGCAGUGGGGAAUAUUGCACAAUGGGCGGAAGCCUGAUGCAGCGACGCCGCGUGAGGGAUGACGGCCUUCGGGUUGUAAACCUCUUUCGACAGGGACGAAGCGYRAGUGACGGUACCUGUAGAAGAAGCACCGGCUAACUACGUGCCAGCAGCCGCGGUA
rnacentral:rRNA from 1 species